rnacentral:rRNA from 1 species
UACAGAGGUCCCAAGCGUUUGUUCGGAUUCACUGGGCGUAAAGGGUGCGUAGGUGGUGAGGUAAGUCGGAUGUGAAAGCUCGGAGCUCAACUCCGAAAUGGCAUUGGAAACUACCUUGCUCGAGGGUUGGAGGGGGGGACUGGAAUGCUUGGUGUAGCAGUGAAAUGCGUAGAUAUCAAGCGGAACACCAGUGGCGAAGGCGAGUCCCUGGACAACUCCUGACACUGAGGCACGAAAAGCUAGGGGAGCAAACAGG